GGAGAGGUGGCUCAGUGGUUAAGAGCACUGACUGCUCUUCCAGAGGUCCUGAGUUCAAAUCCCAGCAACUACA
rfam:Rattus norvegicus chromosome 3, whole genome shotgun sequence.